UACGUAGGGUGCAAGCGUUGUCCGGAAUUAUUGGGCGUAAAGAGCUCGUAGGCGGUUUGUCGCGUCUGCUGUGAAAACCCGAGGCUCAACCUCGGGCCUGCAGUGGGUACGGGCAGACUGGAGUACUGCAGGGGAGACUGGAAUUCCUGGUGUAGCGGUGGAAUGCGCAGAUAUCAGGAGGAACACCGGUGGCGAAGGCGGGUCUCUGGGCCGAAAUUGACGCUGAGGAGCGAAAGCGUGGGGAGCAAACAGG
rnacentral:rRNA from 1 species